rnacentral:rRNA from 1 species
UACGGAGGGGGCUAGCGUUGUUCGGAAUGACUGGGCGUAAAGCGCGCGUAGGCGGAUCGGAAAGUUGGGGGUGAAAUCCCCGGCUCAACCCUGGAAUGGCCUUCAAAACUCCAGGUCUUGAGUUCGAGAGAGGUGAGUGGAAUUCCGAGUGUAGAGGUGAAAUUCGUAGAUAUUCGGAGGAACACCAGUGGCGAAGGCGGCUCACUGGCUCGAUACUGACGCUGAGGUGCGAAAGCGUGGGGAGCAAACAGG